AUGCCUCGGUUGACAGUCCUCUACCCCAGAAGUCAAGGAGUUAGGGGACAGGGAGAGAGAGGGGGUUGGGACAGGGCCUGUAAAUGGAUGGACGGGGAGGGAGAACCUGCUGAGAGGCGAGAACUGAAGAGCGGUUCAAAGCAAACACAAGCUGUUCGUCAGCCACAACAAACAUCUUGGUCACAGACUCUGAGGACACAUGGACCCUUGAAAGGCUGGUACAGUUUUGCUCUAGUGGGUGUAGUGUGGUCGGUGUGCCAGGUGGAGGCGCCGCUGCACCCCUCUCAGGGUGAUGUGUGCUGGAGGCUCCUGUUGGUGUGUCUGCUGUGGAUGGUUCUGGGAGUUUGCGUCUUGGCCCUGAAGUGCCGCCUGCGGCCAGGACAGAGCCGGGUGGAGCCUCCACUGAGGAUACAGCAGGAAGUUGUGACUGAAAACAGGAAUAGCCAGUAUUCAUGGAUGUCCCAGUUGAGGAGUCACAGCCACGACGUUCCUCUGGCCCUCGCCCUGGCUGACAGCCUGCUGCUGUGUGUGCUUCAGGAGCCCCUGUUGGACCCCAGCGUGCCCCACAUAAAGGCCCUCCUCUCCAGACUGGAGUCAGUGUCUCACACACUUGAGAAGGCUGAUGCUGGGUCAGAGGGGACAUUGGAGGAGACGGACCGAGACUCUCAACUGACAGACAAAGUGAAGCUCAUCCGUAACUUCCUGCAGCAGAGGAUGAGGUCACUGUGUCGGCUCGUCCAGGUGCAGGAGGAUUUUGAAGCCAGUGUUAAGGACAUACUGGAGGGCGUAGAUGGCCUCUGGGCUCAGCUGGAGGAGCUGCACACCGGAGUCACGCUCACCAAAGAGGGGAGCCGGAGCCACACAGACCUGGCCUCGGCCCAGACAGACGCAGCGGCUUUGUUCGCAGUCUUGGGUCACUACAGGAACAGGCUUCAGUGCUGCCAGACUCGUCUGGAGGACAGCACACAACUGCUGCAGGAGCUAACCUGGAGUCACACUCAUAUAAGCAACAGUGUGAGCAGCAGCAGUGAGUCAGUUUGGCCGGAGCUGUUGCUUCAGUCCAACAUUGAGCAGUUUGACAAGGUGCAGGAGAGUUUCCUCUCCCUGGAACAACAGACCUCAACGUUCCAGGCCCACCUGGAGGGACUUGGAAAGGAGAAUCAGGAAGGACACGCAGGGCCCCUCGGUUAUGCUAACGGGGCCCAUUCAUGCCCAGUGUCCCCACAGAGUUCCCCACAUCUCCACAGUGGACGCACAAGCAGUGUGUCACUGGAGCACCAUAACUCGACCUCUGCAUCCGUAUCUGUGUCCUCAGCAGAUGCAGACUCGGACACAGAAGCAGACGCUCCUCUGUCACUGUGUGAGAGGUCGGCACUGCAGUUAACCUCCACUGUCGGACGCCUGCGUAAAUCUGGAAGGAAGAAGUGACUUUUAUUGGACUUUAGACAUUUUGUAAAUAGAAUACAAGAAGAAUACAAGAGAGAAUAUUUUCAAAUGUUGAUCAUUUGCUGAUUAUUUAUUGCUUCCUGUGAUUGCAUUACUGUGUUUUACUACUAAGCUUUAACUUUUCAUUUCAAGGACUGCGUGGCUGGUUUUUAAAGCUUGCAAGUGCAUCUUUUUAAAUUCAGUGAAACACAAGGGGGCACACUUUCACCAGUUAUUUCAGGCACAAACAGACAGCACAAAUUAUACAUUGUACAGUCAUCUCAGAUCUCUGUCUGCAAUGACAGGCCGUGGCCCUGAUCUUUUCCUUUCAAUCAACUUUAUAGGAGGAAAGGGAUGAACAGGCUCCUAAAACAUAUGGCCCAUAAAUGUGUUUCUUUAAGAUCAGAACAGUCAGUCAACUUGUGUCUGAAGAAUGACAUUUUUAGAGUAAGUUAGAGAGUUAAUUUCACCAACCUCCUUUUUGCACUUGAAAAUUAUAAUGUAAUGUUUUUAUUUAUUUUUUAUUAUUGUACUACUUAUAAAACAUAUCCAAUGUCUGUUACAACUCUUUUAACAAGUGUACAUUUAUCAACGACUGCUUAGUGAAUAUGUUCUUCUAAGGUGCAGGAGGAACAGGUUACAGGUUAAGAAGUCCCAGACUUUUUCUCUUUUUCACAACUAUUUUUCGUUCCGUCUCUCUCUAUCAGACUCUGGCCGCGAUGACUUGAGCCCUUCAAAGCAGGGAUUUUAGGUUCAGGGCGGGGAGGGGGGGAGGAAGGUAGAAGGGGGCAGUGGAGGUCAACGCCGGAAGCGUUUCUGUUAUUACUAAAAACUGAGCAGUCCUCUAGACCUUUUUGAAAGACAUGAAUGUCUUUGAUCCAAAUUCAAUUACCCUACAGCUUCAACACUGAUAGCAUGGAAGUCGACAUAGUAUUCUCCACCAGAUUCCCGACUUUUCUUACUAGAGCAAACAGGAUUUCUGAUGAGAAUCAAUUCAUUCAUGGCCGCUGUUAAGUGCUAAUUGUAGGGAGUCAGUACAGUAUGCAUGACGUGGAUGUCACUUGACCAUGGACUUGCCUACCAUCUGCCAGAUCCUGCAUCUGUCUGAUUCACUCACACUGGGUCAGUGAUUGGGAGAGGUGGGGCCGACCCUGAGGGGGAUCUGGGAUGAAAGGAAUGUAAGCUGAACACUGCAGGAUCCGAGCUGUCACAACACCAAAGACACAAACACACCAUGUCUGGAUGGAUGGAAGGAUGUAAAGACUGUGGGAGGAGAGAUGUUGUGUGUUUGGUUAUUUGAAGUUAGUGACAAGAGCUUUGAAUAAAAAAAACAAAAAAAAAAAAUGUUAUGACAUGCCGCAUGAAUAUGUAACAUUUUCCACGAAUCAGUCCUGAAUACACAGAACAUAACGGUCUUGGAUGCUUGCUUACAAUAACAAUGACCACAUUUGCUUUGAGGUCCAACAGUCAAAAGACAACAACAGAGGUUUUUG
rnacentral:lncRNA from 15 species